AGAGUUUGAUCAUGGCUCAGAUUGAACGCUGGCGGCAGGCUUAACACAUGCAAGUCGAGCGGGGGAAGGUAGCUUGCUACCGGACCUAGCGGCGGACGGGUGAGUAAUGCUUAGGAAUCUGCCUAUUAGUGGGGGACAACAUCUCGAAAGGGAUGCUAAUACCGCAUACGUCCUACGGGAGAAAGCAGGGGAUCUUCGGACCUUGCGCUAAUAGAUGAGCCUAAGUCGGAUUAGCUAGUUGGUGGGGUAAAGGCCUACCAAGGCGACGAUCUGUAGCGGGUCUGAGAGGAUGAUCCGCCACACUGGGACUGAGACACGGCCCAGACUCCUACGGGAGGCAGCAGUGGGGAAUAUUGGACAAUGGGGGGAACCCUGAUCCAGCCAUGCCGCGUGUGUGAAGAAGGCCUUAUGGUUGUAAAGCACUUUAAGCGAGGAGGAGGCUACUUUAGUUAAUACCUAGAGAUAGUGGACGUUACUCGCAGAAUAAGCACCGGCUAACUCUGUGCCAGCAGCCGCGGUAAUACAGAGGGUGCGAGCGUUAAUCGGAUUUACUGGGCGUAAAGCGUGCGUAGGCGGCUUAUUAAGUCGGAUGUGAAAUCCCCGAGCUUAACUUGGGAAUUGCAUUCGAUACUGGUGAGCUAGAGUAUGGGAGAGGAUGGUAGAAUUCCAGGUGUAGCGGUGAAAUGCGUAGAGAUCUGGAGGAAUACCGAUGGCGAAGGCAGCCAUCUGGCCUAAUACUGACGCUGAGGUACGAAAGCAUGGGGAGCAAACAGGAUUAGAUACCCUGGUAGUCCAUGCCGUAAACGAUGUCUACUAGCCGUUGGGGCCUUUGAGGCUUUAGUGGCGCAGCUAACGCGAUAAGUAGACCGCCUGGGGAGUACGGUCGCAAGACUAAAACUCAAAUGAAUUGACGGGGGCCCGCACAAGCGGUGGAGCAUGUGGUUUAAUUCGAUGCAACGCGAAGAACCUUACCUGGCCUUGACAUACUAGAAACUUUCCAGAGAUGGAUUGGUGCCUUCGGGAAUCUAGAUACAGGUGCUGCAUGGCUGUCGUCAGCUCGUGUCGUGAGAUGUUGGGUUAAGUCCCGCAACGAGCGCAACCCUUUUCCUUACUUGCCAGCAUUUCGGAUGGGAACUUUAAGGAUACUGCCAGUGACAAACUGGAGGAAGGCGGGGACGACGUCAAGUCAUCAUGGCCCUUACGGCCAGGGCUACACACGUGCUACAAUGGUCGGUACAAAGGGUU
rnacentral:rRNA from 1 species